GAUAACCCACUGCCAUCAAGUGGAUUCCGACUCAUAGCGACCCUAUAGGACAGAGUAGAACUGCCCCAUAGGGUUUCUAAGGCUGUAAAUCUUUACAGAAGCAGACUGGUUUGCAAGAUAAUGGGUGGUGGUUCAAGAUCCCAUGACACUACCCUAGGAAAAGCAUAUACUAUCAUGGAGUAGUUUUCUAGAAGCUGAUGGAACAGAGAAAUGUUUGGAAUUACUUGACACAGCAGACAUAAUAGAGACUCAUUUGGCUGUGUUCUUCUAGACCCAAAGAAAGGCAGAAUGUCGGGUGGUUUUGAGAACCGAGCAUAACACGAAGAGGAUGAAAUGGAAUCAGAUAUGCCUGGUUUCUAACAUACUUCUACUGGCACCUCUGAGAAGUCUCUGUCACAUUAGUGCCAUAUCACUCAUCUGGGGCCUUACUGAAGAGAGUGGAGAGUUCCUCAGUUUCCAUUCCUUCCAGCCACUUCAUCCUUGUCACUUUUACAAGUCCUUUACUCCUCCUAUCCUUAACGCAUCUCUACAGAUAGAAGCUGGAACAGCCUCAAAGCUCAGAGAGAGCUAUUGGAAUGGCAGGGUGCAUUCUGCUCAUUGUUGUUUCCUUCAGCUAUUAGUACCCAGUGGUAUAACGCUCUCUCAAGGUCACCCUGGCAGGUGACACUGGUGUCCUCCCAGAAUUGGAUCCCCCAAGGCUUCUGGGCUGAGUAGGACCUUUCUCUAGAAAGGACCCUUAUUGGGCCAUACUUGUCUCUCACAAACGCUUUGAAUUGCUUGAAAGGCUCAAUCCUGGUUGAUUACCCUUGGCAUUGCCAGUACUGAUUCUUGUACAACUUUCAGUAGCCUUGGAUGGGGCAAUGGAAAAUUUUCAUUCUGGGGUGCAUUCAUGGCUCCUUUAGAAAUUGCUGACAUCCCUCUGUGGGUAAUGUGAUGAGGUAAGACUUUGAUGGACCAUUCUAUAAAAAAAAAAAAAAAAAUUUUUUUUUUUUUUAUACGAGGAGCUAAAUUGCCACUCUUAGUAAACCCCCUUCUCUGCUGAUGGCAAGUGAGAAUUGAACCGUGCUGAGGUCUAGAGGCCUAGCUUAACUCCUAAACCAAAGUCAGCUCAAAAGCUUCCUCUCCAACCUCUGUCAACCAGCGAGGUGCUGCCACUCGAAGGGCUAUAAGGGACAACUCUUCUGUUCUUCUUCCUCUCAAGUCCUAUGAUCUUUUUCGCCAGCGAUGUUAGGAGAGAUUGGGUUUGGCAGUAGGACAGACGCAUUUCAACACAUGGGACACAGAUAAAGAGGAAAAAUAACCCACCCAAAAGCCCAAAUUGGCACCUCAGAAUGAGGCGUUCUCUCUCUCUGUCUCUCUGUCACAGGCUUCCUCAGAGGCUUACUUGACGUGCACACCUCCUGACAGACACUCUCUGCCACAUCUCCAGGGCUGCACGUUUGACUCUCGGUCAAUCCUGUUCUCAGAUUUUGCCAAGUGGCUCUCUAGCCACCAUUACAGUUUUCAGACUCUUUUCUCCUAUAUCUGUGGCCUCUCUUCUUGCCUGCCAGUAACAAGUACAGCCUGGACGCAGCUUUAAUCAGUUGAAAUCACAAGGGGAUAAGUCUUAAUAAAACGGACCUGUUGGGGACCUGGAGACGUGUUUUUGCUCCUUAGACCCUGACUUGGGAGUGCAGGGGACACAGUACUGGGCCCAGGCUUGCUUGUGAGCUCCUGCGAGACCACCUCUUUCCCUUGUUCCUUUGGGUGUUUGAAGCCUGUUGCCUACUGCUUUCCCAUUUUCCCUUUUAAAAAAUUCUCCAUUUUUUUUCACUUAGAGAAAAAAAUUAUUUAUACGAUUGAGAUCCACUAAUUAAAGCCAUUUUCUGGUAUUUGGUUACUGAAGCGUUUGAUGUCUCUCUGACAAGACCAUGAAAUGCACGGAGCGUCCACAGGGACAGAAUUUGCUGAACACGGCUCUUUGUAAAUGAGGGGACAUAGUGUCGCAGCAGCUCAUGAAUAUGAAACGCCCAUGAUACCACCUCAGUGGACUUGAGAACACAGAUGAAUCCUGUCAUGUGCUAAAUGAGACCAAUUUCUUUCACUUAACUUCAUCUUCAAUCGGACCUUCUUCCAUUUGCCUGUUUAAAAUUCCCCAUACGUGAUGCAGAAGGUAACAUUCAGUAAAACAAAGUUUUGCAGCUGCGGAGAAAAAUUAUAAUGAUCUCUGGUUUAAAGUUGCCAUCUCCUAAAAACAUGGACGUGAUUUCGUUUUGCUUGCCAGCUCUGCUAAUGUCUGUUGACUUGGGGCACAGAACCAGGCAGGGUUUGUCUGGCUGGGCUUCCUGGGGUGUCUUUAAGCAGCGUGCCCAGAUCCCCUUCCUGUAGACUGGUUAUUGAGCAUGGCUGGUGAAUGGUGGAUGCCAGCCCUUCACUGAGCAGAGCCUGGGCAUGCUCCAUCCGUAGUGGCCAGGGCACUGAGUGGGAGGAGGUUGUAUGUAACCCAGCAGGGUGGUUGCUGUUGAGAGCUCAGGUAAUGGAUGAAGUGAGUGAGAGGUAGUCGUCAGUAGCGCCCUGAGGAACCUGGCAAGGUAGACCAACUACUUGUGCCAUUUACUAAGGGGUCAGGGUGAGAGUGCUGGGACGUAGAACAGACUUUCUGUAGCUCUAGAGAAACCCUUCUUUUUUUCUGGGCACAGCAGGAAAUUCCAUUCAGAAAUCCACAACCAAGAAAAUCAGCAAAGAGAAGAACCUUCAGGGACACAGAGAAGAAGAAACUCCCUGCCUGAAUCAUCUUUGCUUGGGUGGGACCCAGAGGCCAGAUUGGGGUGCCUUCUUUGUUCUUCCUACAGAACUUAGAUUUACUCUCCAGGUGAAGAGCCUGAGAAAUGCUCAGAGUGUACUCAUUGCAAGCUUGGGUCUAAUCUAAGAAUUCACUGUUUAGUUAAAGGAAAACAAACAGCAGCUGGAUCUGAAUGCAGGCUCUCAUAAAGUGCCUCACAGAGGUUUAGGGGGAAGCUUCAUUGGAAGAGGCAGGUAGGCUUUUUACUGUCAGGAGACGGGCUGAAAAGGACCCCUUCUGGGGCUUAAGUGGAUAGUUAGCAUUUUAGUGUGCUUUUGUGAUGAUAUUUACUAUAAUGAAUACAUUUCAGGGAAAAUGGCAGCUUCUGAGAUCCUUGAAAUCAGUUGUAAUUGAGCCCACUGGUAUUCUCACGUGUUUCUGUUAUUUAUUUACAUUAUUUAUUUGAGCACCACUCGUUUAUUGCUGUGGUUUCAGCGGGUGGUUAGUUGGAUAAAUCUCUUGGGUGGCUCUGGUUUCAUCUGGUGAUUAGUUGGUUGGAUAGAUCUGUUGGGUGGCUCUGGUUUCAUCUGGUGGCUGGUUGGUUGGAUAGAUCUGUUAGGUGGCUCUGGUUUCAUCUGGUGGCUGGUUGGUUGGUUGCAUAGAUCUUUUGGGUGGCUCAGACUAGUGUUGCAGUAUCAUGAGCUUUUCACUUGGCAAUCUCUCUCUUUGAAAUAAUUCUUAGUGCUGUCACUGCAUUCGUGAUUCCUUGUUGGGGGCUCCUAGAAUGUGGAAUGAUACAGUGGGCACACUGGAGAUCCAAGUAACAAACACAGGGAGCUUAGUGAAGAGCAUUGUGACCCAGCUUCAGGACAGAAGCCAGACAGUCCAAAUUGGACCACACCUGAACGACCCUUUCUCUGUAAUGUAGUGCCCACUCAUCCAUUGUUUCUUGUAUGUGCAUCAGGAGGACUAAAAUUAGUCUUUUCCAGCAGGCUUUGCAGCUGCCAUGCAAGGCAGAGCUUUUGCUGUGGUAUCAUUCAACCCAGGAAUUAUCCAAGGUUUACUCCUGGCUGUCCUUGUACAAUGAAUCGUACUUAGAUAACUUUGCGACUGAGUAGCACUUAUCGUAAAAUUGGAAAACUAUAGAGAAAAUUGACAUGGCUCUUCCAUGAGUGCUUCUUUCAGAUAGGAAGGGUAUCUAUUGAUUCCAUUCUGCUCAGUUAACCUUCCUUGGAAAGACAGAAGUGACUGGGAUGUGGUCUUUGCCCUCAACUUGUUCAGUAUGUAGGGGGCAGACCUAGGACAAAUUUUACUUAUUAUUCCUACUGCAAGGCAGUGAGGUCAGCCCUGUGGCUAUGAAUAAAGUAUUAAGGAAGGAUAAAGUAGAAAGCUCUUAAUUCUGUCAGUUGGAUUCAUAGAUAAUUCAUAAAGUAUAAUUGGCAUGCCUUUUUCUUAUUCUGCUGAUUUAUUAUUAUUUUUUAUGUAUAGAAUCUCCUUUUGCAACUUUGCAAUCACAGGUUUCUUGAAGACAGGGGCUGUGCUCAGUCCAUCUUGGUUCUCCCCUAAUGUCCUCAGGAAGGAGUCCAGUGUAUAGCAGGUACCCAGUACAGGUUUUCUGGUUGGUGAUGCCUCUCAUCACCUGGCACCCUCUCUCCUGCCUCACCCAAUGCCACUGCCCCCUGGGCCCACCCACGUUGGCCCUUCUUUUGUCUCCCCAGUACUGCAAGUUAUUUCUCACCUCGUAGUGUUCUCUGCCUGGCUUACUCCUGCUUAAUAAUUCAGCUUCCAGAUGUGCUGUCCCUAAUUCAGAGAGACCUUCCCUAACUCCUUGCCCGUUCCCCAAAAUUCCAAAGUAGGUCCUCUCUGGACUGGUUUAAAUGCAUUAUGGAGCAUCCAUUCAACAGAAUGCUGGUGGUCACUUAAAAGAAUAGGAUAUAUCUGUAUAUUUAUAAAGAAAGAUAAAAGCAAAUUGCAGAACAACAUAUAUGUAAUAUGACCCCACUUGCAACCAUUUUUAAAAGGGCAUAUCUGCUGUGAUAUGCAUGAAUUCUCUUCAGUAAAUAUGGACAAGCAAUUUGUAACAGUGAUUACCUUUAGGGAGACAACUGGGCUCAUAUAAGGCAGGGAAGGAAAUUUAAUUUUUCUGUUAAACUUUUCUAUAGCGUUUAUAUAUUAAUUUUAUUUUUUUAAAAUAAAACAAUUAGGCCUCCUUGAUUUUUUGUUUUGUUUGUCAUAGAAUCCAGUUAGCUUCCUUCAUUGCUUUCGUUAGCUGCUGUUGAGUCAGCUCCGAUUCAGGGCAACCCCACGUACCACAGAACAAAACAUUGCCUGGUCCUGUGCCAUCUUCACAGACGUUAAUAAGUUCAGGCCCGUUGUUGCAGCCACUGUACAUUCUGAGUGUUUUCCAGUCUAGGGCCUUGCCUUCCACCACUAUGUUGGACAGUGUUCUGUUGUGAUCCGUAGUGUUUUCAUUGGCUAGUUUUUGGAAGUAGAUCACCAGGCCUUUUUUCCUAGUCUUAGUCUAGAAGCUCCACUAAAACCUGUUCACCAUGGGUGACCCUACUGAUAUUUGAAAUACUGGUGGCAUAGCUUCCAGCAUCAUAGCAACAUGCAAGCUACCCCAGUAUAUCUAUAAACAGGAUAUUUAUUUGUGCUUAUUAUCCCCCACUAGGCUGGUACUUCAUGAAGACAGGGACCGUGUCUGGUUUUUGUUUGUUUGUUUGUUUGUUUUUUCAAUAGUGCCAGGGUUGAGAAACAUUGCCCUAGACAAAUUGGCUUCUUCCAGAUUUCAGAGCCACCUAUGUGGGUUAAAUUAACAGUUGCUUGGUAUCUGUACCUCCCUUUAACUGCACCCUCAUCCUCACCACUAGGCUGAAAACUCCCUGUUUUGUUCAAUGUUGUAUCCACCUGGGCCUUACAAAAUAAGUGGCAGAUAGUAGCUACUUACUAAGUAUGAACUGAAUGGGUUAAUAGUAGACAACUUUUUUAAGGUUUUAGAGUAAGUGCAUGGGACUGCCAAGAGUCUCCAGGCAUUUAGUAAACUUUUUUUUUUUUUGUACUUUAGAUGAAUGUUUACAGAACAAACAAGCUUCUCAUUAAACAGUACACAUAUUGUUAUGUGACAUCGGUUACAAAUCCCGUGACAUGUCAACACUCUCUUCUCGAUCUUGGGUUCCCUGUUAACAGCUUCCCUGUCCCCUCUGCCUUCUAGUCCUUGCCUCUGGGCUGGUGUGCCCCUUUAGUCUCGUUUUGUUUUAUGGGUCUGUCUAACCUUUGGAUAAAGGGUGAACCUCAGGAGUGACUUCAUUACUGAGCUAAAAGGGUGUCCAGGGGCCAUACUCUCGGGGUUUCUUCAGUCCCUGUCAGGCCAGUAAGUCUGGUCUUUUUUUCUGAGUUAGAAUUUUGUUCCGUACUUUCUCCAGCUCUGUCCGGGACCCUUUAUUGUGAUCCUUGUCAGACCAGUCAGGGUUAGUAGUCAGGCACCAUCUAGUUGUGCUGGACUCAGUCUGUGGAGGCUGUGAGGACCAUGUGUGUUUUGUUUGCCCUUGUUACCCAGCACUGCCUAGCAUGGUACCAUCCACCUGGUGGGUGCCCGGUGUUCCUUGAAUGAAUGAAUGAAUGAACCAAUGAAUGAAUGUUAUCACUGGUUUCACCUCAUAAAAGCUGCUUCAUUCUCAUCUGAAAAAUGGUGGUAACUGGGCAGGGUGAAAUUAGAACAUGAAGGUAGAACCAUUUAGUGUCUGUAUAUGCUCCAUAUUAUAAUAGCUGUUGAAUGAACAAGAUAGUUAUUGAAUACUUAUUACCUAUGGAGCACCAUACUAAGUAUUUUCUAAGAUUAUUUCACUUAAUAUUUACAACCAUAUGAAAUAGGUGUAAUUACGAUCCCCGUUUUACAGAUGAAGAAACUGAGUCACAGGUUAAAGUCACAAUAAGCACAUGGUGGAGCCAGGAUUUGAAACUGGCUAUCCUGCCUCCGGAGCCCUGGUGGUGCAGUGGUUAAGUGCUCAGCUGCUAACGAAAAGGUCAGCAGUUUAAAUCUACCAGCCACUCCUUGGAAACCCUGUGGGGCAGUUCUACUCUGUCCUAUAGGGUUGCUAUGAGUUGGAAUCACCUUGAAGCCAACAGGUUUGCGUUUUUUUUUGAUUAUCCUGCCUCCAGGGCCUCUGCACCUGACCUCUGAGCAGGAGUCCUACCCACCACACUUUACUCUUCAUUGUUAUUGUUCUUAGCAGGAUAGAAGGAAGUGAGGAUAAAGUUAAUUUAAUUAUUGGGUUUUUUAAAAGAGUGAUAUCUUUUCAACAGUUCUGGAGCUGAGUCCUAUAUUCCUCUUAUUCCCUCUGUUAAAAUCUUGUGCUUUGAAAUGUUAUACGUUACAACCUGAAUCAGGAUGGGCCCCCUGUCCAGAGUUGCAGGUCAAGUAGCCAUCUCUGAUUGGAGGCCGGGCUGGCUCAUUCCAUGUAGGGGCCCUAGUGGUGCAGUGGUUAAGUGCUGGGCUGCGAACAGAAAGUUCAGUGGUUCAAACCCACCAGCCGCUCUGCAGGAGAAAGAUAUAAAGAUUACAGCCUUGGAAAUUCUAUGGGGCAGUUCUCUGUCGUAUAGGGUCACUAUCAGUUGGAAUCGACUUGAUGGUUAACUAACGGGUUAAUUUUGGGAAGAUGUGAAUUUCUCAAGUACCUUUACUUUUUUCUAGGUUUGCUUAUGGUGUAUACAUGUUUGUGUUUGUGUGUGCAUGAGAGGGGUGGGGACUGGGUAAGGGAGAGUGGGACACAGAGAGAGAGAGAAAAUUCCCAGGAACCUAUUAUGUACACAUAAGCAAGCACUUGUCUGUGAUUGUAAAUCAGAAACUGUAAAAUUGCAAAGUACUUUGAAGUUUGCCCAAAACCAGCUCCACGGCCACCUGUUCCACUGGGGGCUGGGAGUUGGAUGGCCUGGCUCUGCUGAGAUGGCUCAAGCUGUCACUGCACCGGAAUGUUCCAGCUUGCCUCGGCCUGGCUGUCAUCGUUGGCUCUGUCCCACUCAGGCGGUUCACUGGGUUCUGCCGGGCACCAGGCUUCCAAUUAGAGAGAAGUCCCACUGUGUGGCCAGCCCCACCAGUGCCAUUCUGAGCAGCCCUUUUGCCAAGGCCCAAGCUGACCUCUGAUCUGUCACAGAUGGGCCAGCCCCAAACUCUUUUGUGCACAUUUGGAGGCGGGGGGUGGGAGUGAAGAGGGAUACCCAUGGGGAGUCAGAGUGGACAGUGGGCAGAAGUGCAAUUCCUCAGAGCUCUGGGAAGCUGGGCAGAGCUGACAGGACCCAAAUGCUAAAGUUGUGGAGGGAAAGGGGACUUUGGGAGACCCCGUUCUGAGCCCCAAGCUCAGUAUGGGGCAUUUUCUUACCAACUCCUGAAUAUUCAUCUCAGGCUGGACUCCAGGCCCGAAGAGAGCCAGGGGCAGCAAGCUGGCUCACUCCAAAACUGUCACACUCUGAUGGUGUGUGGCAUAGCCAGCUUCCUCCUGCCACUCUGCAGCCUGUGUGGUCUCAGCAGCCAGGGAGCCCACUCACCCUGCGCAGGGAGCGGAGCCAUACUGCCAACAACCCUGACAAUGGACUGUAGUAAUACCCCGGAGCAAGAGUGGAAAAGGAAGCCAAAUUCCUGUUGACAUAAGAAGUGGACUCUUAGAGAGCUCUAGCAGCCCAAGAUAUUUAAGUUUUGAAAAGCUUCUUUCUAGAUACAGGACUUCAUUAUUUUGAGAGGGAUACGUGGCUCUUUAUUUCCCCUGUUAGCAGUUUCUUUUUUUUUUUAUCCUUUUAUUUUACUCUUUUUAUCACUCUCUUGCUCUGCCUGUCUGUUUCUCUCUGCCUUAUUUUCUGUGUCCCUGUGUCUGUCUUGCAUAUUCUCUCUUUCCUUUUCCAGGUGCAACAUCUGUGACUCCACAGUUGGAAGUCGUAAUAAAGACACCAGGCUUGGAGCUGACAUUUAUAUACUCUGGCUUAACUCGACUAGAGCAAUCUUAAAGUCUAAAUAUGAAUAGCCUGAAAGUGGCAAGGGUCUUCCCAGAUGGUCUUGAAAUGAUUCUGCUCCUCUUUAAAAAUAAAAUUGAAUUCAGUCCCUGGAAGGAGGAACCGAGGGUUUCAUCACGACUUUUCCCUCACUGGGAUUUUCCCUUCUUUUGAUGUUUGCAGUUGGUUUGGGAAUUCCAGGACUGCCGCUUGGCCUUUUUUUCCUGCCACAUCUCUUUUUUGCUCCGAUUGGUUAACCCUAACACAACCCCUCAAACAGGUGGUGACGCUCAUUUGGAGAAGGUGUUUCUUUUGGGUGUGAGCCUGUUCAGUGAGAAGAUGGACAGUUUUUGUUUUUUUUUCAGCAAGUUACUGUAAUGAAGUGAUGUGCUGUCUCAGGUUCCCUAUUUGUAUGACUUUGGUAAACUCACAGAAGAAAUGGCCUUGUGUCUCCUCAUCUGUCUGUGAUCACAGCUGGAGAGUUCAGAGAAGGUGAUUCCCGUGAGACAGCAAGAGACGUGUGAUCAUCAGUGUGGAAUUGGCAGUGCUUAUUAUAUACCAAAACCCACUGCCGUCGAGUCCAUUCUGACUCAUAGCAACCCUCUAGGACAGAAUAGAACUGCUCCAUGGGGUUUCCCAGGAGCAGCUGGUGGGAACUGCCAGCCUUUUGGUUAGCAGCUGUAGCUCUUAACCACUGCGCCACCAGGGCCCAGUUUACUAUAUUACAACCUGGCAAAUGGAGCCCCUGCUCUUUGAUAAAAUGUUGGGGAGCCAGGUUAUUCACUAAGUGUAAAAUGUCUUUCAGAUACAGACGAAGGGAAUAUCCAGGCCUGCAAGGCUGCUCUCUUGAGCUAAUGCACACGUGGGCCUUGCUGAUAGGAGAUGGCACUCAUGGUGGCAUCAGCUUCGUGCUGCUACAUGUUCUCUGCUCCUCUGCCUCUGACCACGCCAGGCUCAUUCAUUGCUUCCUUUUCUUCCUUCCUCUCACAUGUGCUGUCUGGGGCUCUCUUCUCCUUUCUUUACAUUUCUACCUGAAUAUCCACUCCAGUGGUUUCGAACCUGGUGCCUGCAUUAGGGUCACUGAAGAAAUCUUAGGAAAAUACAGAUGACUGAGCCCCUCCUAAAAAAACGAAAACUGCUGUUGAGUUGACUCUGAUUCAUGGCGUCCCCACGUUUGUCAGAAUAGAACUGUGCUCCAGAGGAUUUUCAGUGGUUGAUCUUUCAGAAGCAGACUGCCAAACCUGUCUCCUGAGGUGCCUCUGGGUGGACUUGAACCUCCACCUGUGAGUUAGCAGCUGAGCAUGUUAAGCUUUGCACCAUCCAGGGACUCCAAAGUGCCACCUAGGAAGUUCUAAUUCAGCAAGUUCUGGGGUAAGGCCUGGGCUUCAGAAAACAUUGAGGGGCCACCUUUGAU